AUUGAACGCUGGCGGCAUGCCUUACACAUGCAAGUCGAACGGUAACGGGCCUUCGGGUGCCGACGAGUGGCGAACGGGGGAGGAAUACAACGGAACGUGCCCGAUCGCGGGGGAUAACGAGGCGAAAGCUGUGCUAAUACCGCAUACGAUCUACGGAUGAAAGCAGGGGACCGCAAGGCCUUGCGCGGACGGAGCGGCCGAUGGCAGAUUAGGUAGUUGGUGGGAUAAAAGCUUACCAAGCCGACGAUCUGUAGCUGGUCUGAGAGGAUGAUCAGCCACACUGGGACUGAGACACGGCCCAGACUCCUACGGGAGGCAGCAGUGGGGAAUUUUGGACAAUGGGCGCAAGCCUGAUCCAGCCAUGCCGCGUGCAGGAUGAAGGCCUUCGGGUUGUAAACUGCUUUUGUACGGAACGAAAAGCCUUCUUUUAAUACAGGAGGGUCAUGACGGUACCGUAAGAAUAAGCACCGGCUAACUACGUG
rnacentral:rRNA from 1 species